UACGGAGGGUGCAAGCGUUAUCCGGAUUCACUGGGUUUAAAGGGUGCGUAGGCGGAUAGGGAAGUCCGUGGUGAAAUCCUGCAGCUUAACUGCAGAACUGCCGUGGAUACUCUCUAUCUUGAAUAUCGUGGAGGUUAGCGGAAUAUGUCAUGUAGCGGUGAAAUGCUUAGAUAUGACAUAGAACACCCAUUGCGAAGGCAGCUAACUACGCGAUUCAUUGACGCUGAUGCACGAAAGCGUGGGGAUCAAACAGGA
rnacentral:rRNA from 1 species